CCGUGUUCUCCCGGGGGCGGCGCCUGAGCCGCUGAGAUAGAGGUGAUCCUCUGACCGGCCGAACCUGAUCCGGGUCAUGCCGGCGAAGGGAUGAGUACGCUUCCGGUCC
rnacentral:ncRNA from 2 species